GUCAUGGUUUGUGUUUAUAUUUUCAUUUAGUAUAUGUCAUAUAUCAUAGAAUCUAAUGGAUGCUGACAUUGUUUAACCUUUAUUUUGCAGACCAAGCAUUCAACACAGUCAAAACUAUUCAAUUUAUUAAGCUUAUUAGCUCAACCAAUAUUUUGCACUACCUUUUAUGUCAAUUGAA